rnacentral:rRNA from 1 species
AGCUUGCUUUUUAAGCUUAGUGGCGAACGGGUGAGUAACGCGUGAGUAACCUGCCCUAGAGUGGGGGACAACAGUUGGAAACGACUGCUAAUACCGCAUGACACAUAGAUGUCGCAUGGCAUUUAUGUCAAAGAUUUAUCGCUGAAAGAUGGCCUCGCGUCUGAUUAGCUAGUUGGUGAGGUAACGGCCCACCAAGGCGACGAUUGGUAGCCGGACUGAGAGGUUGAACGGCCACAUUGGGACUGAGACACGGCCCAGACUCC